rnacentral:rRNA from 1 species
GAUGAACGCUAGCGGGAGGCCUAACACAUGCAAGCCGAGCGGUAUUGUUUCUUCGGAAAUGAGAGAGCGGCGUACGGGUGCGUAACACGUGUGCAACCUGCCUUUAUCUGGGGGAUAGCCUUUCGAAAGGAAGAUUAAUACUCCAUAAUAUAUUGAACGGCAUCGUUUAAUAUUGAAAGCUCCGGCGGAUAGAGAUGGGCACGCGCUAGAUUAGCUAGUUGGUGAGGUAACGGCUCACCAAGGCGAUGAUCUUUAGGGGGCCUGAGAGGGUGAUCCCCCACACUGGUACUGAGACACGGACCAGACUCCUACGGGAGGCAGCAGUGAGGAAUAUUGAUCAAUGGGUGCAAGCCUGAACCAGCCAUCCCGCGUGAAGGACGACUGCCCUAUGGGUUGUAAACUUCUUUUGUAUAGGGAUAAACCUACCCUCGAGAGGGUAGCUGAAGGUACUAUACGAAUAAGCACCGGCUAACUCCGUG